GCGUAAAGGGCUCGUAGGUGGUUGAUCGCGUCGGAAGUGUAAUCUUGGGGCUUAACCCUGAGCGUGCUUUCGAUACGGGUUGACUUGAGGAAGGUAGGGGAGAAUGGAAUUCCUGGUGGAGCGGUGGAAUGCGCAGAUAUCAGGAGGAACACCAGUGGCGAAGGCGGUUCUCUGGGCCUUUCCUGACGCUGAGGAGCGAAAGCGUGGGGAGCGAACAGGCUUAGAUACCCUGGUAGUCCACGCUGUAAACGGUGGGUACUAGGUGUGGGGUCCAUUCCACGGGUUCCGUGCCGUAGCUAACGCUUUAAGUACCCCGCCUGGGGAGUACGGCCGCAAGGCUAAAACUCAAAGGAAUUGACGGGGCCCCGCACAAGCGGCGGAGCAUGCGGAUUAAUUCGAUGCAACGCGUAGAACCUUACCUGGGUUUGACAUGGAUCGGGAGUGCUCAGAGAUGGGUGUGCCUCUUUUGGGGUCGGUUCACAGGUGGUGCAUGGCUGUCGUCAGCUCGUGUCGUGAGAUGUUGGGUUAAGUCCCGCAACGAGCGCAACCCUUGUUCACUGUUGCCAGCACGUUAUGGUGGGGACUCAGUGGAGACCGCCGGGGUCAACUCGGAGGAAGGUGGGGAUGACGUCAAGUCAUCAUGCCCCUUAUGUCCAGGGCUUCACGCAUGCUACAAUGGCUGGUACAGAGAGUGGCGAGCCUGUGAGGGUGAGCGAAUCUCGGAAAGCCGGUCUCAGUUCGGAUUGGGGUCUGCAACUCGACCUCAUGAAGUCGGAGUCGCUAGUAAUCGCAGA
rnacentral:rRNA from 1 species